AUACGGAGGGUGCAAGCGUUAAUCGGAAUUACUGGGCGUAAAGCGCCCGUAGGCGGCUUGUUAAGUCGGAUGUGAAAGCCCCGGGCUCAACCUGGGAACUGCAUUCGAUACUGGCAAGCUAGAGUAUAGUAGAGGCAAGUGGAAUUCCGGGUGUAGCGGUGAAAUGCGUAGAUAUCCGGAGGAACAUCAGUGGCGAAGGCGACUUGCUGGACUAAUACUGACGCUGAGGAGCGAAAGCGUGGGGAGCAAACGGGAUUAGAAACCCCAGUAGUCC
rnacentral:rRNA from 1 species